rnacentral:rRNA from 1 species
UACAGAGGUCCCAAGCGUUGUUCGGAAUUACUGGGCGUAAAGCGCACGUAGGUGGCUUGAUAAGUUGGGUGUGAAAUCCCCGGGCUUAACCUGGGAAUUGCAUUCAAGACUGUCUUGCUAGAGUGUGGAAGAGGGAAGCGGAAUUCCAGGUGUAGCGGUGAAAUGCGUAGAUAUCUGGAGGAACAUCAGUGGCGAAGGCGGCUUCCUGGUCCAACACUGACACUGAGGUGCGAAAGCGUGGGGAGCAAACAGG